GGGCCGUUAGCUCAGGUGGUAGAGCAUCUGACUUUUAAUCAGGGUGUCACAGGUUCGAGUCCUGUACGGCCCACCA
rnacentral:tRNA from 2 species